CUGCCUCAACAAAAAUACAGAAGUCAACCUUUAUCUCCUAUUCAAAUUAAAAUUCACUUUACCCAUUUUUUCCCUUCUUUCUUCUAUUCUUUUAAUAUCAUACCAUUCUCUCAAACGACUUGAGGAUUUGGGUCGUUGCAGAUUGGUCAUUUGAUGGGUUACGUACAAGCAUAAACUUCAUAUGAUUGGCUUAUUUGAAGAGAAUGGUGGAUGCUGUUGUUGCAGUAGCUUUGGAUCGUUUACUGCAAGUGCUCACAAGCCAAGGCCUUCAGUUCAUCAAAUUUGAUAGGGAGUUUGAGGAAGUGAGGACUGAGCUUCUAUACAUCAACAGCUUUCUCGAAGAUGCUGAGAAGGUCAAGCAGGUGAAUCAGAUGGAAAUGCUGAGAACCAUUAUGCAAGACUUGAGGGAGAUGGUGUAUGAUGUUGAAGACAUAAUGGAAGACUUUGAGCUUCACCGCUUAAAAUGCCAUGGAGGAUAUAAGCUGCACUGCAUGGGCUAUUCUUCAUUGUCCUCAAUGAAGUUCUAUUUUUGAAAUAGGAAAGAGGUUGCGGAUGGUGAGAGAAAGAAUGACCAAAGCUAGAGGAAGAAUGACCCCAUACUUGGGGACGGCUCUAGCCCUCCCAAGUCAAUGGCCAGAAUGGGGAAGGCAAUCGUUAAGAAACCCAAUACUAGUUGAUGAAGCUGGAACAGUUGGGCUAGCAGAGGACCAAUGGAAGAUUAGAGAGUGUUUGCUGGAAGCAAGUGGCCAUUUGAUAGUGAUUGGAAUUGCUGGAAUGGGUGGAAUAGGGAAAACCACCCUUGCACAACAAAUUUACAAUGAUAGGAGCUUGAAAGAACAAUAUGGAUACAUAAUCUUCCUUACUGUCUCCCAAAGUUUUGAACUAAAAGAGCUCAUCAGGACUGUGCUAAGAAAAUUGAAUGAGAGGAGAUACUGCUGAUCUGUUAAGGACAUUGAAUAGCAAGCUGGACAAGAAAUACUUGAUUAUAUUGGACGAUGUUUGGGGAGCCGAUGAAGGGUUGUGGUGGGAAAGCUUGAAGUCAGGUUUUCCUCACAGAGCUGGUAGCUGUGUCAUUGUCACGACAAGGGAUGAGGAAGUAGCUAGAUCAAUGGGUGCCACCCACAGAUGCAUACAUCAUCUCAGACUCCUCUCAGAGGAGAAUGGCUGGUCACUGUUCUCUAAAGUGGUCUUUGAAAGAGAUGGGGGUCAAUGCCCAAAUAUGGAUUUGGAGGUUAUUGGAAAGGAGAUAGUUUCCCAAUGCAGGGGUCUUCCCCUGGCAAUUAAGAUUGCUGGGGGAAUGAUGGUGGGUAAAGAAAAAAGUGCCCACAAAUGGAGUCAAAUAUCAAAGCAUCUAAAACAAGAGUUGGCUACUCAUAAUAAAAAUAAGGUGAUUUUCUCCACACUUAGUUUGAGCUAUGAGGAGUUGCCUACACAUUUGAAACCUUGCUUUCUGUCCUUUGCCAUGUUUCCUGAGGACACUGAAAUUUUUGUGCAUACAAUGAUACAUUGGUGAGGGCUUCAUUAGGGAAAGGGAUGGAAAGACAGCAUAUGAGAUUGGAGAAGAAUGCAUUAAUGAACUGUUCUGCAGAUGUCUAUUACUAGGCUCAUCCAAAACUAUAUUUGAAACUAAUUUCUUUAACUGCAGAUUGCAUGACAUGGUAAGAGACAUGGUCAUAAAAAUUGCAAGAGAAGAAAAUUUCAUGUGCCUGGAUGACAAAGGACGACCUUCGUUAUGUGUUCAAUCACACCGAGGAGGCAUAUUGAGGAGCAUAAAUUUGGAGAGCUUUGAGGUCAAUUCCAAGUCGCUCAGGACUUCGGUUGGAAUGCACAUAGAGCCCUCUGUCCUCAAAACUAUGGGUCAAAACAUGUCCCAACUGAAGAGGUUGAGGGUUUUAGACCUUUUACUCUCAGCAACAUCUGAUGCUGAUCUUAUUGAUGAGAAUGUUUUAAGCAGGAUUGGGUUGCUGCAGCAUCUGAUUUUUUAAAGCCGUGAGGGCCCCCUUGGACCCAAAGCGGACAAUAUCUACAUGGUUGGGUGCGGGUCGUUACAAAUGGUAUCAGAGCCGAUCCCCGACCCCGGUGUGGGGGUUUGUUUGGCCUCGUAAGGGGUGUUCGUUUGUUUGGCCCCGCAAUCUCAUGGGACACAACGAGGACGUUGUGUCUGCAUGGGGGGGUGUUUGUAAUGUCCCACAUCGGAUAGGGGAGGAAGUUCCUGGCGCUAUAUAUGUAGAGACUCCUCUUAACCAAGUAGACGCGUUUUAAAGCCGUGAGGGCCCCCUUGGACCCAAAGCGGACAAUAUCUACAUGGUUGGGUGCGGGUCGUUACAAGUCUCAAAAUAGAAUGAAAAAGCUCCCAAAUUCAAUCACAAAUCUUCGCAAGCUUCAAAUUCUACACCUGUACAAUUGGCCUAAUUUGAGAAGACUCCCACCGAGCGUUACUACUUUGGAACAACUGAACAUAAUGCAGAUAUUUGGUUGUGAUUCAUUGGAAUGCAUGCCAAAGGGGUUCAGUAACCUCCAUAACCUUCAAACUCUGUGGGGAUUUACACCUGCAAGUUGGAGACACAAAGAUGGAUGCCGGGUUGCAGAGCUGAGGCAUCUCAAUCAACUCAAAACUCUUUUCAUUGAAAUAAAGUCAGAGGAUCAAAUUGUAGAAGGCGAGUUGAACGUAUUAUCACAACUGCAAGACUUGAAGAUUAGAGCCAGUAAUGGAAGCAGUGGAUUGGCUGGUAAGAUUAAUGGUUGGUUUUCUUCCCUCCAACAGCUGGAAAAAUUGAGGCUUUAUGGUUUACAAGGAGUUACCACUCCAACAUGGCUCAAUCCAACUUCCCUUCCCAACUUGCGACAUCUUUCAAUUGUUUUCUCGGAGAGACUUGUGCACUUGAACCCCAUUUUCUGGGACACCCAGAAUGUGAAAUGGAUGAUCUGGAUGAACUGGAUGAGGAAUGGCCUAUGAUAAAAGGGGCAAUGCCCUUUUUGAAACUGAUGAAGGUUCAAGUGUGUCCCAAGCUCAAGCUUUUUCCCAUUGAUGUUACUCGAGAGGGUCAAUGGAAGAAAGGAUGAAAACUUGAAAGAUCA